AUUAAAGUAUAGUUUUACUUUAAAAAGAAAUUUUAAUUUUCUUUAUAUUAAAUAUAAUUAUAAAUUUAUACUCUAAAAAUAGAAGAAAUAUUUUAAAUUUUUAAAAAUUAAAAAAAGAAAUUAAAUUAGAUUUGGCGAAACUUGUGCCAGCCGCCGCGGUUAUACAAGUAAAUCAAUUUUUUUGUUUUAAAAAAAAUAAAAAUUAUUUUUUAAUAAUUAAAAUUUUAAUUGGGUGAAAUCAAGAAAUUUUCUUUAAAUUAAAUGUUGAAUUUUAAUAAUUUAUUUUAUAGACUAGGAUUAGAUACCCUAUUAUUGUAAGCUAAAAUUUUGUUAGUAUAUAAAUAUUAUGAAAUCAAAAGAUUUUGGCGGUAUUUUAAGCUUUUUAGAGGAAUUUGCUCUUUAAUGGAUAAAACGCCUUGAUCUUACUUAAUUUUGUUAAAUCAGUUUGUAUACCACUAUAGUUAAUAAUAUUGAAUAAUUAAUUGUUAAAAUUUUUAAAAAUUAAAAUAAUAAAUUAAGUCAAGGUGCAGCAUAAAAUUAUGUUUGAAGUGAAUUACAUUGAUUUUUAUAUUUCAAAAAAAAUAUGAAAAGUUAAUUAUAGGAUUUAAAAGUAAAUUGAUAAUAAAAUGAUUGAUUGAAAAAAGCUCUAAAAUAUGCACAUAUCGCCCGUCGCUCUCUAAUUGGGAUAAGUCGUAACAAAGUAAAAAUACUGGAAAGUGUUUUUUAGGGUGAA
rnacentral:rRNA from 1 species